GACGAACGCUGGCGGCGUGCUUAACACAUGCCAGUCGAACGGAAAGGCCCUGCUUUUGUGGGGUGCUCGAGUGGCGAACGGGUGAGUAACACGUGAGUAACCUGCCCUUGACUUUGGGAUAACUUCAGGAAACUGGGGCUAAUACCGGAUAGGAGCUCCUGCUGCAUGGUGGGGGUUGGAAAGUUUCGGCGGUUGGGGAUGGACUCGCGGCUUAUCAGCUUGUUGGUGGGGUAGUGGCUUACCAAGGCUUUGACGGGUAGCCGGCCUGAGAGGGUGACCGGCCACAUUGGGACUGAGAUACGGCCCAGACUCCUACGGGAGGCAGCAGUGGGGAAUAUUGCACAAUGGGCGGAAGCCUGAUGCAGCAACGCCGCGUGCGGGAUGAGGGCCUUCGGGUUGUAAACCGCUUUCGCCUGUGACGAAGCGUGAGUGACGGUAAUGGGUAAAGAAGCACCGGCUAACUACGUG
rnacentral:rRNA from 1 species